CCCGAAUUAAAGCAGUUUUGGUACUACGAAAAGCCCUUUUAAACUUUGCCGCGGCGAGGGAAGGGUUAACGGCGCCCCUCGGCUCCGCCCGCGCCACUCUCAACCAAUCAGCGCUCUGCGCCCCGCCUCCCGCAGCCAAUCGGCGUCCUCUCUUCAAGCCGCGCCCUUUGCCCUAUCGGCUGUGUCAUUGCGGCGGUCCCCACUUCCCCGCCAUCGCCGCCUUAAGAGGAGGCCACGCCCCGCUUCCCCGCCCUCUGAACCAGCAGCCAAUCAGCGCAAAGCGCCCCGCUCCCUCAGCCAAUCGGCGCGCUAGCCCCGCCCACUAGCCGCUCAUCCAAUCAACGUUCAAUCUCUUCAAACGCCAGCAGUUUCUUGUCCGCCAGUUUGGGGGCGGGGCUUAAACAGGAAGUGCGGUAAGCCGUCAGUUUGUAGGCGGAGCUUACACAGGAAGUGCGAUUGUCCGAGUUUGGGGGCGUGGCUUAAACCGGAAGCAUAGCUGUCCAUCAGUUCUUGGGUCGUGGCUUAAACCGGAAGCACGCGUGUCCGCCAUCUUGGGGGCGUGGCUUGUCGCGCAGGGGCUGCUGGGAAUCGUAGUCCUUAAAGGGGCCACCGCCAUUUUGGGGGCGUUUUGGGGGCGAAAAACGGAGAAAUGCGGACAAAACGGGGCGGAGUUUUUACAGCGGGGGGGGCGGGGCGGCCAACAGCGCUUCCACGGACCUGAGGGCAAAGGGGGGCAGCGGCACUUAGGGGGCAGCCCCACACUUAGGGGGCGGACCCCCACUUAUGGGGCAGCCCCACACUUAUGGGGCAGACCCCCACUUAUGGGGCAGCCCCACACUUACGGGUUGGACCCACACUUAUGGGGCAGCCCCACACUUAUGGGGCAGCCCCACUUAUAGGCCAUACCCACACUUAUGGGUCAGACCCCCGCUUAGGGGGCAGCCCCACACUUAUGGGUCGGACUCCCACUUAUGGGUCAGCCCCACACUUACGGAUUGGACCCCCACUUAUGGGGCAGCCCCCCACUUAUGGGGCAGCCCCCCACUUAUGGGGCAGCCCCACACUUACAGGUCAGACCCCACUUAUGGGCCAUACCCCCACUUAAGGGUCAGACCCCCACUUAUGGGUCAGACCCCCACUUAUGGGGCAGGCUCACACUUACAGGUCAGACCCCACUUAUGGGGCAGCCCCACUUAUAGGCCAUACCCACACUUAUGGGUCAGACCCCCGCUUAGGGGGCAGCCCCACACUUAUGGGGCAGCCCCACUUAUAGGCCAUACCCCCACUUAUUGGGCAGCCCCACUUAUGGGUCAGCCCCACACUUAUGGGUCGGACCCACACUUAUGGGUCGGACCCACACUUACGGGUCGGACCCCCACUUAUGGGCCGGACCCCCACUUAUGGGGCAGCCCCACACCUCAGCAUCCCCCGCAGUCUCCGCCGUCGAUCCCUCAGCGCCUGCAGCACCGCAUCCUCCACCGCCUCCGCCUCAUCCGAAUCUGUGGGGCACAGAGCAAAUGUGGGGCAGCACAUGUGGGGCUGCCCCAUAAGUGGGGGUCAGACCCAUAAGUGGGGGUAUGGCCUGUAAGUGGGGGGCUGCCCUAUAAGUGAAGGCUGCCCCAUAAGUGAAGGCUGCCCCAUAAGUGUGGGGCUGCCCCCUAAGUGUGGCUCUGCCCCACAAGUGGGGGCUGACCCCUAAGUGUGGCUCUGCCCCAUAAGUGGGGGCCGCCCCAUAAGCGUGGGUCUGACCCGUAAGUGAGGGUGACCCCUAAGUCUGGCUCUGCCCCAUAAGUGUGGGGCUGACCCAUAAGUGAAGGUAUGGCCUAUAAGUUUGGCUCUGCCCCAUAAGUGUGGGUCUGACCCAUAAGUGAGGGUGACCCCUAAGUGUGGCUCUGCCCCAUAAGUGAAGGGCUGACCCACAAGUGAAUGUACGGUCUAUAAGUGGGCUGACCCCUAAGUGUGGCUCUGCCCCAUAAGUGUGGGGCUGCCCCAUAAGUGCUCUCAGUUCUCACCCAUUGCUUCCUGCAGCAGUUCGAUGGCGGCCGCUUUCUGCCCCAUGGCGCUGCCCCACGGCGCUGGAGGGACGGUCUGCCCCAUAGAAACACACUGACCCACAGCUCCGCCCCAUAGAUCCUACAGUCCUGCCCCAUAGAUCCACAGCUCUGCCCCAUAGAUCCACAGCUCCACCCCACAGAUCUACAGUUCUGCCCCAUAGAUCUCUCUGCCCCAUGGUUCUGCCCCAUAGAUCCACAGCUCCGCCCCAUAGAUCCCACAGUUCUGCCCCAUAGAUCCCUCUGCCCCACAGCUCCGCCCCAUAGAUCCACA
rnacentral:lncRNA from 1 species